rnacentral:rRNA from 1 species
UACGGGGGGAGCAAGCGUUGUUCGGAUUUACUGGGCGUAAAGGGCGCGUAGGCGGCGUGACAAGUCACUUGUGAAAUCUCCGGGCUUAACCCGGAGCGGCCAAGUGAUACUGUCGUGCUAGAGUGCGGAAGGGGCUACUGGAAUUCUCGGUGUAGCGGUGAAAUGCGUAGAUAUCCGGAGGAACACCGGUGGCGAAGGCGGCUCACUGGCCCGGUACUGACGCUGAGGUGCGAAAGCGUGGGGAGCAAACAGG